rnacentral:rRNA from 1 species
UAGGGAAUCUUCCACAAUGGACGCAAGUCUGAUGGAGCAACGCCGCGUGAGUGAAGAAGGUUUUCGGAUCGUAAAGCUCUGUUGUUGGUGAAGAAGGAUAGAGGUAGUAACUGGCCUUUAUUUGACGGUAAUCAACCAGAAAGUCACGGCUAACUACGUGCCAGCAGCCGCGGUAAUACGUAGGUGGCAAGCGUUGUCCGGAUUUAUUGGGCGUAAAGCGAGCGCAGGCGGAAGAAUAAGUCUGAUGUGAAAGCCCUCGGCUUAACCGAGGAACUGCAUCGGAAACUGUUUUUCUUGAGUGCAGAAGAGGAGAGUGGAAUUCCAUGUGUAGCGGUGGAAUGCGUAGAUAUAUGGAAGAACACCAGUGGCGAAGGCGACUCUCUGGUCUGCAACUGACACUGAGGCUCGAAAGCAUGGGUAGCGAACAGG